rnacentral:rRNA from 1 species
AAAGCUGAAAGUCGGUUUCGGCUGACACUUACAGAUGGGCCCGCGGCGCAUUAGCUAGUUGGUGAGGUAACGGCUCACCAAGGCGACGAUGCGUAGCCGACCUGAGAGGGUGAUCGGCCACACUGGGACUGAGACACGGCCCAGACUCCUACGGGAGGCAGCAGUAGGGAAUCUUCCACAAUGGACGAAAGUCUGAUGGAGCAACGCCGCGUGAGCGAUGAAGGCCUUCGGGUCGUAAAGCUCUGUUGUUAGGGAAGAACAAGUACCGGAGUAACUGCCGGUACCUUGACGGUACCUAACCAGAAAGCCACGGCUAACUA